rnacentral:rRNA from 1 species
UACGUAGGGUGCAAGCGUUAAUCGGAGUUACUGGGCGUAAAGGGCAUGUAGGCGGUCUGACGCGUUUUGUGUGACAGCGGGUGGCUUAACUACCCGAGCAUGCGAAAGACGGUUGGACUUGAGGGCUCGAGAGGGACACGGAAUUCCGGGUGGAGUGGUGAAAUGCGUAGAGAUCCGGAGGAACACCGAAGGCGAAGGCAGUGUCCUGGCGAGUAUACCUGACGCUGAGGUGCGAAAGCCAGGGGAGCGAACGGG